GAAAUAAUAAUAAUCAUCAUUUACUCUUUUGUCAGAGGGAGGAAAUCCUGCUGGCUCAUGUCUCAGCUCAGUUUCAAGUGUACGUGCUGAAGAGGCAGUUGCAAACCACAGAAAUUCAAUUGAAGAUGGUGAAGUUAUGGAAAGUUAUUUGGGAGGAGUACAAUACAGCACACGUACUAGAUGUAUGAUUUUCGAAUGUGAUUCUGAACAAUGAUGUUCUUUCAAUUCAGUGAUCAGUUAAUUCAAUAGCAAAAAAUGCCAAAUACAUGUUUCAUUUGCCCUCAGAAGUGUUGAAUGAAAAAUGUUACAGUGCUGUAAUACAGGCUACAGUCAGCACUUUAGGAAAUACACUUCAAAUUGACAUGACAUAUGACAUAGACUACAGUUCAAAUAUUUCAAAUAACUAAAAACAGGAAAUUUUAGGUAACACUAUUUUAAGGUGACAUAGUUACAUGUUACUACAUGUACUUACUAUAGUAAUUACAGUAAAUUAUGCAUAAUUACAAGUAACUAACCCUAAACCAAACCCUAACCAUAACUCUAUAAUAAGUACAUCCAGUUAAUAUUACUUAGUACUUAUUUGAGUAAGUACAAUGUAACUACGUCACCUUAAAAUAAAGUCUAACCAAAUUUGAUUGUAAAAUAUUAUUACAUUUUAAAAUAACUGUUUUCUAUUUUAAUAUAUGUCAUUUAACGAAGCUGAAUUUUCAGGAGUCAUUAUUUCAGUCUUCAGUGUCACAUGAUUCUUCAGAAAGCAUUCUAAUAUACUGAUAUGGUGCUCAAGAAACAUUUAUUAUUAACAUUAUUAUUAUUAACCGUUGAAAAUGGAUGUGCUGCUUAAUAUUUUUGGUGAAACCAUGAUAUAUUUUUCUGAAUAAAUAACUGUGAUAUCUUUCAUGAAUAUAAAGUACAACAGAACAGCAUUUUAGAUAGACAGUUACAGUAUAUGACAGGCAGGCAGGCAGGCAGACAGACAGACAGACAGACAGACAGACAGACAGACAGACAGACAGACAGACAGACAGACAGACAGACAGACAGAUAGAUAGAUAGAUAGAUAGAUAGAUAGAUAGAUAGAUAGACAGACAGACAGCCUGCAUGCAGAUCUUUCAGGCAGAAACGUGCCACCUAAGCACAGUCUUAAUACUAUCAAGACCUAAGUCAACAAAGUAGAUAAGUCUCUUCCGUUCACAUACAAAGAACAAUAUCGUCUGACUAAUGCAUUUGACAGAGCUAAAUAUACCACAGAGAUUAAACCGCAAGAUUCAGGACACCUGCUUAAAAUAGCUGAUUGUAGCAGAUGCAUGUGACACUGUCACAACCUUCUAUUUAUGUAAGUUUAAAGGAUUUAACCUAAUUUAAUGAUCACCUUUCUUAGCUCCACUGUAUAUCUUUGCAUUUAGCUGAAGGGUGAAUAUGAGGUGAGAAAACAUAAAUUUAACAUUACAAUUCAUCUGAUAUUAUUACCACAGCUGCAUUUCAUCUUAAAAAAAACCCACAGUGACACUUUAAUUAAGCAAACCACAACAAACCACCAUGUUAAAACAAAUUCCUUUAUGGUGAUAUUUACAUAAUUAUAUAGCUGGAAGAACUUGUGCCUACAUCUCAUUUCAGUUCUAGGCUAUUUACUUUCUGAAUUCACAGAAAACAGUAUUUAAUUCUCAGUUGUUCAGUCCAUCCUCAACAGGAGAUUCUUGUGAUUCUUUGACUCCUUAAUUACAUAAUCAUUCAACACAGUCACAAAGCAAGACUAAGGUCAGAGCUGCAGCCCACCAGACUUUAUCCCACUGGAUCUCUGCUCUUCAACAAAAACCUGUGACCAAAAUAAAAAUCUGUAAUGGUGUUGGCAGCUGUUGUAAUUGUGAGUGAGCGUAGUCAAGUGUCAUGUAGGUGGAGGGCCGAGUGCUCCCAGGGUCUCAUUGUUACUGCAAUGUAAACAUUCAGGGCAGCUGCGGUGGGGUCCCAUUGGUCAGCUUCCUCUCUACUCUCUGCUCAGCACACACACACUUCCUGUCAGGCAUGCAAGGUCAGAGCUUAGCUAAAUUUAGUGCCUUGGCUUACGGUCCUUAACUGCCGUGACUGUAUAAAAGGGGUUGAGCUGCCGCUAAACCUGAACAAACCAAACACAGACACAACCUCUGCACAACAAUCACCACUCUGAUCCUAGAAGCUUGUCCUACAGGAUGAAACCCAGAAGAUUACUCCUGUCUGUGGCUCCUCUACCGACAAUAACAGAGUCGCAUGAAGACCUCUCACAGUCCCUGGAUGAAUAUGUAAACUCCAUUAAAGAACUGGCCCAGCCUGCUUGCGGCCCUUUGAGAAUAUCCAGGACUCACAGGCGUAAACCCGUGGGGAAGCAUGCGGGUUCUACCUCAACGCCGCGCAGCGCUUCCCGGGCUCUGCAGCCCCGCCGUGCUUCCCUCGGCCUGGACGAGGUCACGCUGAGGUUCAGCAGCCAGGUGGACUGCGGCGCUAAAGAUCCACUGGACUGGUUGUUUGCACAGACACACUUACAGUCACACGGUGAGAAUUUGCGCAGGACUGACAGCGCACCUGCUGCUUUGUGGUUACUCUAAUGCGCCAAAUGCGUAAUGACAUGCUGAUGGGAGGAUAACUCUGAACGUUUGAUGGAUGAACGCAAUGGAGGAUCUCAUGAACUGAACUUCUUAAUUUAUUGCUGAACAGACUUUUUGUACAAAGAUGCUAAUGUUUACACCCUGUCAAAGUCAUGGUUUUCUACAUUCUAUGCUUUUUAAAAUAAAGUUAAAAAGUGAAUUGA